AUUUUUAUGCUCACAUUCUAAAAACAGCACAUAAACAACACAACAUUGUUCUCAAAUCAUUUCAUGAAACACACAACCACUCAGUUGGGGAGGGUGCUCCAUUCUGCACUUCAAAGUCCCCUUCAGUAAAGCACUACUAGACAACAACAACAACAACAACAACAACAAAGCCACAUGCAUCUGAAUUUUCCACAACACUCUGUAGAAGCUCUGUAUGAAAUUUGGAAUUUAAGGCACAUAAAUUGCAAGCCAUUUCACAGCUUUGAGAUACUGAAGCAGACUCCAGGGUUUCCCCAGAGUGUUGCUUCUUCAACGCACAUGGUUGAGAUGGGAUGAAAUAUCUUUCAAAUAACUAAACAUUUGUAAAUGCACACUUUCAACCCAUGCAAAGAGCUCCGCUGCAUUUCAACCACAAUACUUCCACUUCAAGUAUAGUAUCUAUGACAUAAAGAUAUAUAUAAUGUUGGGUCCCUUUGAAGAAUGCCCAGAUCUUUAGCAAUUGAGCAAAUGGCAAAGCUGCACCUAAGCAAGGUCAGAGUUGUGUGUGUGAGGUCCUCGUUAUGGUCUUGUGAGCAAACAUUUUUUGCUCUUCUCUUUAAGGCAAAUGAAACGAGAGAGAGAUACCCUCACACAAAAAAAGCAAACUGAUGCUGCACUCAGUUUCAAUGCACGAUGUUUCCAUUUAUGUCUUAUAUUCUCAACUUAAAAAGCCUGGUGGACCGUUUCUUCUUCAAAAGCAGCAUGUGACCCACAGAAAAAAAUUUGCUGGUCAAAGCGUCUCAGCAAUUGUGGGUGUGUCAAGGAAGAUUCCAGGGGGCUGUUGUAGGCGCUGACUUGUCAUGAAGAGAGAGUGACACCUCAGGCAUUGAGGUCAAAGUAAUUAAGCAUUGGAGGUGUUUUCAAGUCAUAGGAUAAGGUCACUGCACCUUGUGCGGCUCCAUCUUUUGACUUGAUAAUGCCAAAAUUUUAUUAUAAAAAAUGUAAAAUAAAAUAAAAAUGAAAAAGGUUGACGGAAAUGGACCCACAAAGAGGCAUCAAAAAACGAGGUUGUGCAACUUGACCUGAAAUUGAUCAAACUGUGUAUUUGGCACUAUUAUCUCAAUUCAUGAUGAGCUCCUAUCACAAGAAUAGGAAUAUAUAUAUAUAUAUAUAUAUAGUAACUAAUGAAGAUAAAGGUUACAACAUGUGUAACAAUUGUCAAAGCAAUUUGAGUUUGGAAUUUUUAGGAACAAGUGAAAUCCAAGUGUGGUACAAAUCUCCAAAUGUAAAAAUUUAAACACAUGUUUUGAAAUGUAUUUGUAAAGCAUUUUAUUA